rnacentral:rRNA from 1 species
CUACGUGCCAGCAGCCGCGGUAAUACGUAGGUCCCGAGCGUUGUCCGGAUUUAUUGGGCGUAAAGCGAGCGCAGGCGGUUAGAUAAGUCUGAAGUUAAAGGCUGUGGCUUAACCAUAGUACGCUUUGGAAACUGUUUAACUUGAGUGCAAGAGGGGAGAGUGGAAUUCCAUGUGUAGCGGUGAAAUGCGUAGAUAUAUGGAGGAACACCGGUGGCGAAAGCGGCUCUCUGGCUUGUAACUGACGCUGAGGCUCGAAAGCGUGGGGAGCAAACAGGAUUAGAUACCCUGGUAGUCCACGCCCUAAACGAUGUAUACUAGUUGUUGCUAAGCUAGUCUUGGCAGUAAUGCACCUAACGGAUUAAGUAUACCGCCUGGGGAGUACGGUCGCAAGAUUAAAACUCAAAGGAAUAGACGGGGACCCGCACAAGCGGUGGAGCAUGUGGUUUAAUUCGAAGAUACGCGAAGAACCUUACCCGGACUUGAUAUC